GUCUGGAGCUGUCAUAGGAGAAGCUAACAGGUGAUCUUUCUGAGAUGACUACCUUGGAUUAAAAAUCUACAAUAGAACUCCAAGCACACAGAGAAGACAGUAGCUGACCACAUCUGAGCUAGUGCCCUUUGCAGUGGGCUGAGCCCGGCUACUGCCUAAGCAGAAAUUCAACUCAACAAGGCAAACUGAGACAAGUGAGUAGACAUACAACAAACAAGAGUGUGCCUGAUAAAGUCCUGCACACAAAUACCCCAACCAAACCUCCCCGAAAACAGUGCCACUAACUGGGAAACAAAUGGUCAAGUAUGGGGGAACAUUUCUUAUUCAAAACAUUGUCAAUUGGUGAAUAUGGGUUAUUGAAAUCACCCACUUUUACUGUGUUUGGAUCAAUCUGUGGUUUUAGAUCUACCAGUUCUUCUUUUAUGAAAUGGGGUGGCCCUGUAUUUGAUGUACACGUG
rnacentral:lncRNA from 1 species